AAUGCAUCUUGCGCUCUUUGGUAUUCCGAGGAGCAUGCCUGUUUGAGUAUCAUGAAUGUAUCUCAACCCUCCCCUUGAAUUUAAAGGGUGAUGAGGGCUUGGACCAUGGAGGAUUUUGCAGGUAUUUUUCUGUCUGCUCCUCUGGAAAGCAUUAGCUGGAGAAAAACUCGGUUGGCUGUGGUGUUGAUAGCACACAAUGUCUACUACACCAGUCCCCGAAGGAAAAAUGGUCUCUGCUGCUGACUUGCACGAUUCAUUCAACCGUGAUCUCAAAUCAGGUAGGACUACCCGCUGAACUUAA
rnacentral:misc_RNA from 1 species